rnacentral:rRNA from 1 species
GAUGAACGCUGGCGGCGUGCCUAAUACAUGCAAGUCGAGCGAACGGACGAGAAGCUUGCUUCUCUGAUGUUAGCGGCGGACGGGUGAGUAACACGUGGAUAACCUACCUAUAAGACUGGGAUAACUUCGGGAAACCGGAGCUAAUACCGGAUAAUAUUUUGAACCGCAUGGUUCAAAAGUGAAAGACGGUCUUGCUGUCACUUAUAGAUGGAUCCGCGCUGCAUUAGCUAGUUGGUAAGGUAACGGCUUACCAAGGCAACGAUGCAUAGCCGACCCGAGAGGGCGAUCGGCCACACUGGAACUGAGACACGGUCCAGACUCCUACGGGAGGCAGCAGUAGGGAAUCUUCCGCAAUGGGCGAAAGCCUGACGGAGCAACGCCGCGUGAGUGAUGAAGGUCUUCGGAUCGUAAAACUCUGUUAUUAGGGAAGAACAUAUGUGUAAGUAACUGUGCACAUCUUGACGGUACCUAAUCAGAAAGCCACGGCUAACUACGUG